rnacentral:rRNA from 1 species
GGUUAAUGCUAGCGGUGCGCCUAACACAUGCAAGUCGAGCGAAUGGAUUAAGAGCUUGCUCUUAUGAAGUUAGCGGCGGACGGGUGAGUAACACGUGGGUAACCUGCCCAUAAGACUGGGAUAACUCCGGGAAACCGGGGCUAAUACCGGAUAACAUUUUGAACCGCAUGGUUCGAAAUUGAAAGGCGGCUUCGGCUGUCACUUAUGGAUGGACCCGGGUCGCAUUAGCUAGUUGGUGAGGUAACGGCUCACCAAGGCAACGAUGCGUAGCCGACCUGAGAGGGUGAUCGGCCACACUGGGACUGAGACACGGCCCAGACUCCUACGGGAGGCAGCAGUAGGGAAUCUUCCGCAAUGGACGAAAGUCUGACGGAGCAACGCCGCGUGAGUGAUGAAGGCUUUCGGGUCGUAAAACUCUGUUGUUAGGGAAGAACAAGUGCUAGUUGAAUAAGCUGGCACCUUGACGGUACCUAACCAGAAAGCCACGGCUAACUACGUGCCAGCAGCCGCCGUAA